rfam:Triticum urartu cultivar G1812 contig790437, whole genome shotgun sequence.
GUUCUACUCCCUCCGCCCGGAAAUACUUGUCGGAUAAAUGAAUAAAAAUGGAUGUAUCUAAAACUAAAAUAUGUCUAGAUACAUCCAUUUCUUCGACAAAUGUUUUCGGGCGGAGGGAGUAUUGG